AGGGAUUUGGGCUUUUACUCUGAAGUGGAUGGGAAGCCACUGGUGGGAUCUGAGCAGAGAAGACAUGGUAUAGCUGCUCUUUUAAAAAGAUUACUCUGAGGGCUCCAACAGACUGUAAGGAAGAAAGGCGAAAAAGACUCACCCAGCAGUGUAAGAAAAUAAACAAACUCUGAGAGGCUGUGAGUUUUGAAUUGCAGAGGGUAAAACCAGAGCCAAAAGUUCCAGAGAAAAUAUUUCAAGCUUCGGGUGUGUUUGAGGAACUGAGAAGUCACAGAAUCGCUGGAAAAGAGGAUGUAGUGUAAAGUAAACUCAGCUGCACAGACAUAUGGUCUGUUGGUGGAACUGGAGUCCGACCAGAUAAUGAUCAUCAGCGAGGCAGUGCUCUGAAGAAGCCUCUCAUCCACAGGCAUGUGUCUGCCUCCUGCAUCUGCAAGAGGAGGAUGUGACCCAGUGGACACCUGGUGACAGCCUCAUGAGACCCUGCCAUCUCAGAGGACAUAGCUGGGCCACGCCGGGACUUCUCACCAGCCGGGAAAUAUGUUACCCAGCGAUAUAAAUGAAUGCAGGGGGUCUUGAGAACAACAGUCCAGUUGGAAGCAGAAAAUAGGUGACUCGUCUUCAGAUGGGUUCAAACGAUUCUCCUGCCUCAGCCUCCCGCGUAGCUGGGAUUACAGGCUACACGGCGCAUGCCACCAUGCCCAGGGUCCCCUGCCCUCCAGCGAGCCUAGUUGAGCCCCAGCUGGACUCCAAGUCAAGCCUCUGCAGCCAGGUGUCCGCCAGAUGUCUUCCAAGGCCAGCAAGGGAACCGCCUGGGCACGCGUCAGUCUGGCCUGUUUCCUGAUCCAGAAAAUUAUUUUCAGCUGCGCGUGACCUUCCACGGGGCCAGGACUGGAAAACUAGACAGCAGUGAUCUUUUUAAAACCGUGGAAUCUAUGAACUGGGAAAGUCCCCUCCAAACUCGUCAACAGGAAUUCACUGCUUAUUGGUA